rnacentral:rRNA from 1 species
ACGCACGCUGGCGGCGUGCCUAAUACAUGCAAGUAGAACGCUGAAGAGAGGAGCUUGCUCUUCUUGGAUGAGUUGCGAACGGGUGAGUAACGCGUAGGUAACCUGCCUUGUAGCGGGGGAUAACUAUUGGAAACGAUAGCUAAUACCGCAUAACAAUGGAUGACACAUGUCAUUUAUUUGAAAGGGGCAAUUGCUCCACUACAAGAUGGACCUGCGUUGUAUUAGCUAGUAGGUGAGGUAAUGGCUCACCUAGGCGACGAUACAUAGCCGACCUGAGAGGGUGAGCGGCCACACUGGGACUGAGACACGGCCCAGACUCCUACGGGAGGCAGCAGUAGGGAAUCUUCGGCAAUGGGGGCAACCCUGACCGAGCAACGCCGCGUGAGUGAAGAAGGUUUUCGGAUCGUAAAGCUCUGUUGUAAGUCAAGAACGGGUGUGAGAGUGGAAAGUUCACACUGUGACGGUAGCUUACCAGAAAGGGACGGCUAACUACGUG